AAGUUCCGACCUGCACGAAUGGCGUAAUGAUGGCCAGGCUGUCUCCACCCGAGACUCAGUGAAAUUGAACUCGCUGUGAAGAUGCAGUGUACCCGCGGCAAGACGGAAAGACCCCGUGAACCUUUACUAUAGCUUGACACUGAACAUUGAGCCUUGAUGUGUAGGAUAGGUGGGAGGCUUUGAAGUGUGGACGCCAGUCUGCAUGGAGCCGACCUUGAAAUACCACCCUUUAAUGUUUGAUGUUCUAACGUUGACCCGUAAUCCGGGUUGCGGACAGUGUCUGGUGGGUAGUUUGACUGGGGCGGUCUCCUCCUAAAGAGUAACGGAGGAGCACGAAGGUUGGCUAAUCCUGGUCGGACAUCAGGAGGUUAGUGCAAUGGCAUAAGCCAGCUUGACUGCGAGCGUGACGGCGCGAGCAGGUGCGAAAGCAGGUCAUAGUGAUCCGGUGGUUCUGAAUGGAAGGGCCAUCGCUCAACGGAUAAAAGGUACUCCGGGGAUAACAGGCUGAUACCGCCCAAGAGUUCAUAUCGACGGCGGUGUUUGGCACCUCGAUGUCGGCUCAUCACAUCCUGGGGCUGAAGUAGGUCCCAAGGGUAUGGCUGUUCGCCAUUUAAAGUGGUACGCGAGCUGGGUUUAGAACGUCGUGAGACAGUUCGGUCCCUA
rnacentral:rRNA from 1 species